rnacentral:rRNA from 1 species
UACGUAGGGGGCGAGCGUUGUCCGGAAUUAUUGGGCGUAAAGGGUGUGUAGGCGGCUUUGCAAGUCAGAUGUGAAAUGCCACGGCUUAACCGUGGGACUGCAUUUGAAACUGUGUAGCUUGAGUACAGGAGAGGAAAGUGGAAUUCCCAGUGUAGCGGUGAAAUGCGUAGAUAUUGGGAGGAACACCAGUGGCGAAGGCGACUUUCUGGACUGUAACUGACGCUGAGGCGCGAAAAGCGUGGGGAGCGAACAGG